GACGAACGCUGGCGGCGUGCUUAACACAUGCAAGUCGAACGGAAAGGCCCUGCUUUUGUGGGGUGCUCGAGUGGCGAACGGGUGAGUAACACGUGAGUAACCUGCCCUUGACUUUGUGAUAACUUCAGGAAACUGGGGCUAAUACCGGAUAGGAGCUCCUGCUGCAUGGUGGGGGUUGGAAAGUUUCGGCGGUUGGGGAUGGACUCGCGGCUUAUCCGCUUGUUGGUGGGGUAGUGGCUUACCAAGGCUUUGACGGGUAGCCGGCCUGAGAGGGUGACCGGCCACAUUGGGACUGAGAUACGGCCCAGACUCCUACGGGAGGCAGCAGUGGGGAAUAUUGCACAAUGGGCGGAAGCCUGAUGCAGCAACGCCGCGUGCGGGAUGACGGCCUUCGGGUUGUAAACCGCUGUCGCCUGUGACGAGGCGUGAGUGACGGUAAUGGGUAAAGAAGCACCGGCUAACUACGUG
rnacentral:rRNA from 1 species